UGGCUCAGGACGAACGCUGGCGGCGUGCCUAACACAUGCAAGUCGAACGGACGAGAGGAGCUUGCUCCUCGAGUUAGUGGCGAACGGGUGAGUAACGCGUGGGCAACCUGCCUUUCAGAGGGGGACAACGGUUGGAAACGACCGCUAAUACCGCAUGAUGCAUUUUGGUCGCAUGAUCGGGAUGCCAAAGAUUUAUCGCUGAAAAGAUGGGCUCGCGUCUGAUUAGAUAGUUGGUGGGGUAACGGCCUACCAAGUCGACGAUCAGUAGCCGGACUGAGAGGUUGAACGGCCACAUUGGGACUGAGAUACGGCCCAGACUCCUACGGGAGGCAGCAGUGGGGAAUUAAUUGGGCAAUGGGGGAAACCCUGACCCAGCAACGCCGCGUGAAGGAAGAAGGCUUUCGGGUUGUAAACUUCUUUUACCAGGGACGAAGGACGUGACGGUACCUGGAGAAAAAGCCACGGCUAACUACGUGCCAGCCGCCGC
rnacentral:rRNA from 1 species